rnacentral:rRNA from 1 species
CAGUAGCCGCGGGAAUACGUAGGUGGCAAGCGUUGUCCGGAAUUAUUGGGCGUAAAGCGUGCGCAGGCGGUUGUGUAAGACAGGUGUGAAAUCCCCGGGCUUAACCUGGGAACUGCGCUUGUGACUGCACAGCUAGAGUAUGGCAGAGGGGGGUGGAAUUCCACGUGUAGCAGUGAAAUGCGUAGAGAUGUGGAGGAACACCGAUGGCGAAGGCAGCCCCCUGGGCCAAUACUGACGCUCAUGCACGAAAGCGUGGGGAGCAAACAGGAUUAGAUACCCGAGUAGUCCCUGUCUCUUAUAC